UAGGGAGGGUUCUCUGAGGGUUCUCAGAGGCUCAAUUUAUGUAACCUUGAGAAAACCUUUAGAGAACAUUCUGUGAGAGUUCUCUAAAGGAUAUUUUUCUGUAACCUUCAGAGAACCUUGAUGGGAUGUUCCCUGGGGGGUUUUCAGAAGGUUAAUUUGUGAAACCUCUGUGUAACAUUUAGAGUACAUACCCCUAAGGAUAUUUUUGAGUGUCGUCUAAAGGUUAUUGUUGAAAAACCGUCACAGUACCUUUUAGGGAAUGUUUUCCAAAGGUUCUCUGAGAGAUAAUUUCGUAAAGUUGAAAUGUGUGGGUUAGGGGUUAAAGUUGAAACUUCAGUCCAUAUAGUGAAGUGUUAUUAUAUGUUAUUAUAUAAUAUAUUAUAUAGUUAUAAAGGAGUUCUUAUCUAUCGCUAUGACCAUCUUUCAUCUAUCUUUCUUCCUAUGACCAUCUGAUUUACAGUACAAUCAAAAACGUGUCAUUACACACAUUUGAAAAAAAGUCAUUAACUGGACAUUUAAUCCAAUUCAUGAAUUAAACAUUCGCAAGCAAGAUUCUAAGAUGUUCGGGAAAGUGGAGCGAGUUAUCAACGGCUGUGGAAAACGGUUCAAUACAGCUUCCAGCUCACUGAACAGCGGUCUGUCCUGUCUGUUGAUGUGGAUGGAUUCAGUCAAUGAAUAGAGGCCUUGAGAAAGCUCCAGUUCACAUCGUCAGCACAUACCAAGAACACCACUGAAGACAUCAGACCUGAUGUCAGCUAAAGACUUGGUUUCGCUGCAGUGAAGGCUGUUGGUCGUCCAGCAGACAGUACGAGUUUUCUCUCUGGGGCUGUGGAGGUACUGAUGCCUGUGGGAGACGAUAUGGUGCUGAUUGGCCCUGAAACUCCAUUUGGACAUGUGUUAUUUGUUGUUAAUAUAAGAACUGAUUUUAACUGUUAGAACACCACAAGCUGGCUGUGGGUAAUUGUGACAUCAUAAUUUUGGAGGAGCCAUCUUUGGGCUAACUCCAACCACUUCAGCCCUUCCUCCACCCAUGAGAAGUGUCCACUAGGAGAUGGAAAAAUAAUGAAUCUGAUGGUUGUGGAAAAAACAGUAUUUUGGUGAUUGCCAUGUGUGAGAUAUUUAAGUUUAAUUAAACAUAAAUUAGCUAUAACCUCCGUCAUAGACAGUUAUGAUAAGUGAUGGAAACAAGAGCCAGAAUCAUUUCAACUCUUCAAGGCAACAAACUGUUCAUUAAGAUCUGGCUUUUUUUGAUUGUUAUGAAUCACAAUAUUAGAUUAUCUUGUUAUUUUAUAAUUGCAAUAUCACAUAAUUUCAAUAAAAUUAGAUCACUUUGA